UACAGACCAAGCUCAUGACUCACAAUGGCCUA
rnacentral:piRNA from 1 species